GAUGAACGCUGGCGGCGUGCCUAAUACAUGCAAGUCGAGCGAACGGACGAGAAGCUUGCUUCUCUGAUGUUAGCGGCGGACGGGUGAGUAACACGUGGAUAACCUACCUAUAAGACUGGGAUAACUUCGGGAAACCGGAGCUAAUACCGGAUGAUAUUUUGAACCGCAUGGUUCAAAAGUGAAAGACGGUCUUGCUGUCACUUAUAGAUGGAUCCGCGCUGCAUUAGCUAGUUGGUAAUGUAACGGCUUACCAAGGCAACGAUGCAUAGCCGACCUGAGGGGGUGAUCGGCCACACUGGAACUGAGACACGGUCCAGACUCCUACGGGAGGCAGCAGUAGGGAAUCUUCCGCAAUGGGCGAAAGCCUGACGGAGCAACGCCGCGUGAGUGAUGAAGGUCUUCGGAUCGUAAAACUCUGUUAUUAGGGAAGAACAUAUGUGUAAGUAACUGUGCACAUCUUGACGGUACCUAAUCAGAAAGCCACGGCUAACUACGUG
rnacentral:rRNA from 1 species